AGGGCAGUAGCUUAGCUGGCUAAAGCGCGGGACUCCAAAUCCUGAGAUCGCGGGUUCAAAUCCUGCCUGCCCUG
rnacentral:tRNA from 1 species